GAUGAAGAACGCAGCGAAAUGCGAUACGUAGUGUGAAUUGCAGAAUUCCGUGAACCAUCGAAUCUUUGAACGCAUAUUGCGCUCGAGGCCUCGGCCGAGAGCAUGUCUGCCUCAGCAUCGGUUUCACCCUCGCCAUGAGUUCCCCUGUUGCAGGCGGAUCUCACUGGCGGAGUUGACCGUCCUGCUGCCGUCUGGUGCAGCGGGUCGGUUGAAGCACAGCGGCUCCAGCAAACACCCACUCGGGCGCUGGCUAGGUAGGUAGCUUCGGCUGCAUGCCGCCAGACUGCCCCGGAUUUGCAUGGGAGCCUUCCUUUGAAACUUUCACUUUCGACCUGAGUUCAGGCAAGAGCACCCGCUGAACUUAAGCAUAUCAAUAAGCGGAGGA
rnacentral:misc_RNA from 1 species